rnacentral:rRNA from 1 species
GACGAACGCUGGCGGCGUGCUUAACACAUGCAAGUCGAACGGAAAGGCCCUGCUUUUGUGGGGUUCUCGAGUGGCGCACGGGUGAGUAACACGUGUGUAACCUGCCCCUGACUGUGGGGUAACUUCAGGAAACAGCGGCUCAUACCGGAUAGGAGCUCCUGCUGCAUGGUGGGGGUUGGAAAGUUUCGGCUGUACGGGAUGGACUCGCGGCUUAUCAGCUUGUUGGGGGGGUAGUGGCUUACGAAGGCUGUGACGGCUAGCCGGCCUGAGAGGGUGACCAGCGACCAUGCUACUAAGAGACGGCGCAGACGCGUACGUUGGGCAGCAGGGGGGAACAUGGCACAGUGGGGGGAAGUGUGAUGAAGCAACGUUGGGUGCGGGAUGACGGCUUACGGGGGGUAAACCGCUUUCGCCUGUGACGAAGCGUGAUUGACGGUAAUGGGUAAAGAAGCACCGGCUAACUACGUG